rnacentral:rRNA from 1 species
GAUGAACGCUGGCGGCGUGCUUAACACAUGCAAGUCGAACGAAGCACUUUAUUUGAUUUCCUUCGGGACUGAUUAUUUUGUGACUGAGUGGCGGACGGGUGAGUAACGCGUGGGUAACCUGCCUUGUACAGGGGGAUAACAGUUGGAAACGGCUGCUAAUACCGCAUAAGCGCACGGCAUCGCAUGAUGCAGUGUGAAAAACUCCGGUGGUAUAAGAUGGACCCGCGUUGGAUUAGCUAGUUGGUGAGGUAACGGCCCACCAAGGCGACGAUCCAUAGCCGGCCUGAGAGGGUGACCGGCCACAUUGGGACUGAGACACGGCCCAAACUCCUACGGGAGGCAGCAGUGGGGAAUAUUGCACAAUGGGCGAAAGCCUGAUGCAGCGACGCCGCGUGAGCGAAGAAGUAUUUCGGGAUGUAAAGCUCUAUCAGCAGGGAAGAUAAUGACGGUACCUGACUAAGAAGCACCGGCUAAAUACGUG